rnacentral:rRNA from 1 species
AUAUCAAUAAGCGGAGGAAAAGAAACUAACAAGGAUUCCCUUAGUAACUGCGAGUGAACAGGGAGGAGCUCAAAUUUAAAAUCCGGCGGCUCUGCCGUCCGAGUUGUAAAUUAGAGAAGUGGUAUCAGCGCUGGCCUGUGCAAAAGUCCCUUGGAAAAGGGCAUCAUAGAGGGUGACAAUCCCGUCUUUGGCACAGAUUCCCAGGGCAUUUGUGAUACGCUCUCAAUGAGUCGAGUUGUUUGGGAAUGCAGCUCCAAAUGGGUGGUAAAUUCCAUCUAAAGCUAAAUAUUGGCGAGAGACCGAUAGCGCACAAGUACCGUGAGGGAAAGAUGAAAAGAACUUUGAAAAGAGAGUUAAACAGUAUGUGAAAUUGUUGAAAGGGAAACACUUGAAGUCAGUCCACUUUCUGUACAAAUCAACCUAACCUCUUGGUUGGGUGUACUUUGUUCAGUCAGGGUCAACAUCAAUUUUGGCUGCCAGACAAAAAGCUUGGAAAUGUGACAUCCUUUGGAUGUGUUAUAGGCUGAGCUUCCAGUGGCAGCUGGGAUUGAGGAUCUCGGUGCAUUUACUGCACCCAGGAUGUUGACAUAAUGGCUUCAAUUGA